GUCUCUAUAGCUCAGUGGUAGAGCAUACGAUUGCAGUUGCCCUUGUCAGCAAUUACAUAUCGUGCGGUCCCGUGUUCGAACCACGGUGGGGACU